rnacentral:rRNA from 1 species
AUAAUGGAGAGUUUGAUCCUGGCUCAGGACGAACGCUGGCGGCGUGCCUAAUACAUGCAAGUCGAGCGGAACUUUGGGAGCUUGCUCCCAUUGUUUAGCGGCGGACGGGUGAGUAACACGUGGGCAACCUGCCCUGCAGAUCGGGAUAACUCCGGGAAACCGGUGCUAAUACCGAAUAGUUUGCGGCCUCUCCUGAGGCUGUACGGAAAGACGGUUUCGGCUGUCACUGCAGGAUGGGCCCGCGGCGCAUUAGCUAGUUGGUGGGGUAAUGGCCUACCAAGGCGACGAUGCGUAGCCGACCUGAGAGGGUGAUCGGCCACACUGGGACUGAGACACGGCCCAGACUCCUACGGGAGGCAGCAGUAGGGAAUCUUCCGCAAUGGACGAAAGUCUGACGGAGCAACGCCGCGUGAGUGACGAAGGUUUUCGGAUCGUAAAACUCUGUUGUGAGGGAAGAACAAGUACCAAGUAACUACUGGUACCUUGACGGUACCUCACCAGAAAGCCACGGCUAACUACGUGCCAGCAGCCGCGGUAAUACGUAGGUGGCAAGCGUUGUCCGGAAUUAUUGGGCGUAAAGCGCGCGCAGGCGGUUCCUUAAGUCCGAUGUGAAAGCCCACGGCUCAACCGUGGAGGGUCAUUGGAAACUGGGGAACUUGAGUGCAGAAGAGGAAAGUGGAAUUCCAUGUGUAGCGGUGAAAUGCGUAGAGAUGUGGAGGAACAC